AUGCAUCUGGUGCUAUCUUCACAGUUUAUGGACCUUCCAGCAUGGUCAUCCAAUCUUCUGCUCCCAUUGAAACAGCCAAACAAACCUCAGCACCAGUUUUGGCCACGGUUUUUCUGGAAUGUCAUGGAACUGAAGUGUGCAAUGCCUCGAUCUACAAAGCUACUGAGAGCAAAGGCAGCAGGAAGGUUCCACUUGGAUGCAGUAACCUGGCAAGACAGGGCUCAAAUCUACCCCUCACCGGCUGAGUGUCUUUGGCUUCUUAAAAAUAUUGUAUACCCACUGGCAUCCACCCCCAGUUCCACUGUGACAACCUCAACCCAGCCUCCAUUUAUCAACACAACCGCAUCAAGGGAUCGCCUCCUGGCCUCAUCCAUCAAACAGGCCACUGUCUGCAGACGUUCCGGGAUUUGUUGUAUUUGGGAUUAAAUGCGGAGGUGGGGGGUAAAAUUAACGGGGUUUCUAUAAAUAUAACUUCUCUGGCUCUUGUUAAAACUCUAGGGGUCACAGGAAAUCUCUGGUUUCAAACAAGGCUAUGCAGAGUGAUCCUGUUUACUCGAAAUGUCUAGCCAAGAUCUAACUUUGCCCCAUUAAUACUAAA
rnacentral:lncRNA from 1 species